rnacentral:rRNA from 1 species
UUAAAUUAUUAAGGGCGUAUGGUGGAUGCCUUGGCAUUAGAAGACGAUGAAGGACGCGACAAACAGCGAUAUUGCUUCGGGGAGUUGUAAGUAAACUUUGAUCCGGAGAUUUCCGAAUGAGGAAACUCACCCAUUAGGGUAUCAUAAAGUGAAUACAUAGCUUUAUUGAAGUCAACCCCGUGAACUGAAACAUCUUAGUAACGGGAGGAAAAGAAAGAAAAAUCGAUUGCCUGAGUAGUGGCGAGCGAAACGGCAACAGCCCAAACCAGUCUUAGGACUGGGGUUGUAGGACACUAAUAUACGGAGUUACCAAGUUUUAUGAUAGCAGAACACUUUGGAAAGAGUGACCAUAGAAAGUGAUAGUCUUGUAUGCGAAAUCAUGAAACCUCUAUAGUGUAUCCUGAGUACGGCGGGACACGAGAAAUCUUGUCGGAAUCUGUGGGGACCAUCCCAUAAGGCUAAAUACUCUCUAAUGACCGAUAGUGAACAAGUACCGUGAGGGAAAGGUGAAAAGAACCCCGGGAGGGGAGUGAAAUAGAGAAUCUGAAACCAUAUGCUUACAAAAAGUUCGAGCCCAUUAACGGGUGAGAGCGUGCCUUUUGCAGAAUGAGCCGGCGAGUUAUGGUAUUGUGCAAGGUUAAGUGGAAAACACGGAGCCGAAGCGAAAGCGAGUCUUAAUAGGGCGAUUUAGUACAAUGCUGUAGACCCGAAACCGAGUGAUCUAGCCAUGAGCAGGUUGAAGUUGGGGUAAUACCCAAUGGAGGACCGAACCAGGGUACUAUGUAACGUGCUUGGAUGACUUGUGGCUAGCGGUGAAAUUCCAAUCGAACUCGGAUAUAGCUGGUUCUCCCCGAAAUAGGUUUAGGCCUAGCCUUGAAUUAUUUCAUCCUGGAGGUAGAGCACUGAAUGUGGAAUGGCCGCGUCUAGCGGUACUGACUGCAAUCAACCUCCGAAUGCCAGGAAUUGUAGAUUCAGGAGUCAGUGUAUGAGGUGAUAACGUCCAUACGCGAGAGGAAAACAAUCCAGACCAUCAACUAAGGUCCCUAAAUAUAUGUUAAGUGGGAAAGGAUGUGGAGACGCACGAACAGCUAGGAGGUUGGCUUAGAAGCAGCCAUCCUUUAAAGAGUGCGUAAUAGCUCACUAGUCGAGUAUCUCUGCGCCGAAAAUGUACCGGGGCUAAACAUAUUACCGAAGUUAUGGAUUUAUAAUUUAUUAUAAAUGGUAGGGGAGCGUUCUAAGGGCGCUGAAGGUAGAUCGUGAGGACUACUGGAGCGCUUAGAAGUGAGAAUGCCGGUGUGAGUAACGUAAGGUAGGUGAGAAUCCUACCCACUAUUUGACCAAGGUUUCCAGGGUCAAGUUCGUCUUCCCUGGGUUAGUCGGGACCUAAGGCGAGGCUGAAAAGCGUAGUCGAUGGACAACAGGUUUAUAUUCCUGUACUGCUUAUAGGACUGAUGGAGUGACGGAGAAAGCUAGGAAGGGCCAGUUAUUGGAUUCUGGUCUAAGCGUUUAGGUUGAUGCACAGGAAAAUCCGUGAUAUCGAUAAGACUGAAGCGUGAUGGCGACGUGGUCUACGGACCGCUAAGUCUUCUGAAGCUAUGCUUCCAAGAAAAACUUCUAAAGAUAUGUUAUAAGUACCCGUACCUAGAACCAACACAGGUGGUCAAGGAGAGAAUCCUAAGGUGAGCGAGAGAACUAUGGUUAAGGAACUCGGCAAAAUUACCCCGUAACUUCGGAAUAAGGGGAGGUUUCUUCGGAAACCCGCAGUGAAUAGGUCCAGGCAACUGUUUACCAAAAACACAGGUCUCUGCUAAAGCGUAAGCUGAUGUAUAGGGGCUGACGCCUGCCCAGUGCUGGAAGGUUAAGAUGAUUUGUUAGGUGGACGAAAGUCGAUAACACCGAAGCUUUGAUUUGAAGCCCCAGUGAACGGCGGCGAUAACUAUAAUCGUCCAAAGGUAGCGAAAUUCCUUGUCAGGUAAGUUCUGACCCGCACGA